AUGAAAUUCUUCUCCUCUCUCCCCUCUCUCCUCUCAAUCCUAGGGUUUCUUGAGUUUUAGGUGUGAACCAUUAGAGGCUCACACACUAUUGGAGUUAGUUUUCCAAGGAGACAACAAAUAUUCUGAUUAGCUUGAUUGGAGUCAACAAAAGAUGCAAGGUAACACAAGAAGCAUGAAAGUGGAUCUCAAAGUGGUGUGGUAGUUCUACGAGUCAUUUCUCAUUCGUGUUAGAAAUCAUUGAAUUUGUGGCUAAAUGGGGUAAUUUCCCAAUUUGAUGGCAAGAAACAAUAAGGUGUUCAAAAAAAAUAGCACCACUCCAACGACUACUACAGACAGUGUCAUUACACAAUCGUAUGUUUGGUUUAAACACAUAAGUUCACUUGGUUGUGGUAAUUGGUCAGAGCGGGUCUCUCCUUUUAUUCAUCUUAAUUUGUAAUAUGUAUUUUUAUAACUUUUCCCUGCCUCGUGCUUUUUAGCUAUUUGCUAAGCGUGGGCAUUAUCAAUAUAUUUUGUUGUUUCCAAAAAAAAAAACUACUUAUUAAAAAAAAGUUAUGGUU